AUGGUUGGAAAAACACCUGCUGGAGAAGGUCUAUAUAGAAGUGUUAGAGUUGGAGAUCUAAGUAUCGCUGUUGGUGGCGCAGUCACAUUGGAAGGUGAUUCAGGAGAAGCCAUUAUGUGUUUUGUUGAGUAUAUGUAUGAGACACGUGAUGGCACACAAAUGAUUCAUCGAAGAUUUCUGCAAAAUGGUUGGCACGCUGUCCUCGGCAACGCCGCAAACGAAAGAGAGGUGUUCUUUACCAAUAAUUGUUUACAGUUCAAAGUAGGUGACAUGAGAGACUCAGUUACUGUCAACUUCCAGCUAAUUCCCUAG
rnacentral:rRNA from 1 species